rnacentral:tRNA from 1 species
AGAGAUAUAGCUAAGUGGUAAAGCAUUUGCCUAGCAUGUGUGAGACCCUGGGUUUGAUUCCCAGAAGCACCA